rnacentral:rRNA from 1 species
UACGUAGGGUGCGAGCGUUGUCCGGAAUUAUUGGGCGUAAAGAGCUCGUAGGCGGUUUGUCACGUCUGCUGUGAAAGCCCGAGGCUUAACCUCGGGUCUGCAUUCGAUACGGGCUAGCUAGAGUGUGGUAGGGGAGAUCGGAAUUCCUGGUGUAGCGGUGAAAUGCGCAGAUAUCAGGAGGAACACCGGUGGCGAAGGCGGAUCUCUGGGCCAUUACUGACGCUGAGGAGCGAAAGCGUGGGGAGCGAACAGG